rnacentral:rRNA from 1 species
AUUGAACGCUGGCGGCAGGCCUAACACAUGCAAGUCGAGCGGUAGCACGGGGGAGCUUGCUCCCUGGGUGACGAGCGGCGGACGGGUGAGUAAUGUCUGGGAAACUGCCUGAUGGAGGGGGAUAACUACUGGAAACGGUAGCUAAUACCGCAUAAUGUCGCAAGACCAAAGAGGGGGACCUUCGGGCCUCUUGCCAUCAGAUGUGCCCAGAUGGGAUUAGCUAGUAGGUGGGGUAAUGGCUCACCUAGGCGACGAUCCCUAGCUGGUCUGAGAGGAUGACCAGCCACACUGGAACUGAGACACGGUCCAGACUCCUACGGGAGGCAGCAGUGGGGAAUAUUGCACAAUGGGCGCAAGCCUGAUGCAGCCAUGCCGCGUGUAUGAAGAAGGCCUUCGGGUUGUAAAGUACUUUCAGCGAGGAGGAAGGCAUUAAGGUUAAUAACCUUGGUGAUUGACGUUACUCGCAGAAGAAGCACCGGCUAACUCCGUGCCAGCCGCCGCUGUAAUAC